UGGCAUACCUCUUCAGUCUUGUGUCAAUGCUUGUAUUGCAUUGAAUGCACGGUGGGUUUCUUGUGUUGCAUGCCUAAUUAAUGGUAUCGCUUGAUGAAUUGGUAUUCUUUUCGUCUUGUGUCGCCUAUGCGAUGUGAGAUGAACCUUGAAGCAACCUUUGUGAUCCACUCUUUUGAUGCAUACGCAUUGAUUUUGUGGCCCAUUGAGUGUUGCUUGGUCUCAUGGAUAUGGAACCUGGUGUGGGCAUGGAAUCUUACUGGUUCCUUGUUUGCCCAAGUUUAGCUUUUCUAAAACGAUUGUCUAUCAUGUGUUAACGUGGUAGACAGCUUCGAAUAUGAAUGCUACCUGGUUGAUCCUGCCAGUAGUCAUAUGCUUGUCUCAAAGAUUAAGCCAU
rnacentral:misc_RNA from 1 species